CAGUAGGGUUGCCCAGGAACUUGCUAAAUUCUUGCAAGUUACCUGGCAGUUUCAUAUACCCUAUCAUCCACAGAAUACAGGGGUAGUUGAAAGGAUGAAUAGGACUAAUAAGGAAAAGCCCAGAAUUUACCCAGGAACAUGGGUAAAUUGGACUAGAUAUCUACCAGCUAUUUUAGCUGAGAUAAGAAUGAAUCCCCACAAGGUGACUAAAUUAUCUCCAUUUGAGAUUUUGAUGGGAUGACCUUUUCCCACACCCUGGGCCAGGGAACUGCUUGUUAUAAUGUCUGGGGAUUUACAGCUAAUACAAGAACAAUAUGUACAGGAAUUGUUGAUAAAACCGAAUGGUAUGUAUGGCAAUGUUUCUUCGCAGUUUUCACUUAUCUUCACAGGAACCUACUCAUCCAUACCAGCCCGGUGACAAGGUGUAUAUCCGUCAGCUGAACAGGACCAAGAAAGGAGGAUACCCUUUUGGACCACCUGCUACUGUGAUUGCUGUACCCAGAACCGCUGUCCUCACAGAUUCCCACGACAUCUGGAUUCACGCAUCCCGAGUGAAGCUGUGUCCAAAGAGGGGAACCAAGGAAGACAACACCACUCCUCGCUCGGAAACAGAAGAAUUUCUCCUCAGCGAAGCAUCAUGGCUUUUACACCAUAUCGUAGAUUGAGAGGAUCAUACAUACCUGAGACCAAGAUUAUGUUGUGCGCUAUGCUUUCUGGAGUUGUUAUACUCCCUCUGAUAUUGUCCCUUGAAUGCCAUUAUGAGUACAAGUCAAUGGCAAGUUUGAAACCUGUUUGUUUCUGGAAAAAAGACUCUGACAUGAUGAACAAUUCUUCAAUACCCCCAGCCCAAUUAGGCCUUAGCCCCUCAUCUAGCAUUCGUCACACACGCCCCCUCAAGAACCUUUCUACACCACCUUUCUAUCAGCAUGUAAUAUGCAAGCACUCAUCGACUGAACGCAUUUGGAUGAAUUGGACAAAUAGUAACCCUUAUAAGUACCAGUUACCCAUAUGAAAUGUGUCUACAGCUAAUGAAACCGAUGCAUUAUGUUUGUUUGAAGGUUCACAGAAAAUUGUUAGAUCUUAUAACGCAGAAAUGUGCACAGUUAAGGUUGCAUAUCAAUGUAAACAGAAAGGCCUUAUUACUUUUAAUAAUGAUUAUAUAACUGGUAUCAUUAAU